GUGAGGAAUAUUGGUCAAUGGGCGGGAGCCUGAACCAGCCAAGUCGCGUGAAGGAAGAAGGAUCUAUGGUUCGUAAACUUCUUUUGCAGGGGAAUAAAGUGCAGGACGUGUCCUGUUUUGUAUGUACCCUGAGAAUAAGGAUCGGCUAACUCCGUGCCAGCAGCCGCGGUAAUACGGAGGAUCCGAGCGUUAUCCGGAUUUAUUGGGUUUAAAGGGUGCGUAGGUGGUUUGAUAAGUCAGCGGUGAAAGUUUGCAGCUUAACUGUAAAAAUGCCAUUGAUACUGUCGGACUUGAGUGUAAAUGAGGUAGGCGGAAUGCGUGGUGUAGCGGUGAAAUGCAUAGAUAUCACGCAGAACUCCGAUUGCGAAGGCAGCUUACUAAGCUACAACUGACACUGAAGCACGAAAGCGUGGGGAUCAAACAGGAUUAGAAACCCCAGUAGUCC
rnacentral:rRNA from 1 species